rnacentral:lncRNA from 1 species
UUGUUUCCUCGACAGAGUACACCAACACUCCUGAAGAAAAAAAUGAACCGAGAAAAAGGUGAACAAAGCAGCCAGGCACCUUCAUUGAAUCCAGAUGAAAACAGAGGUUCCAUCGUGCCUGCACCACCGCGGAAGUCCUGUUUGUUGCAUCACCGGAAAGGAGAGGAAGGGGGGAAAAAGGGCAUCGUUUACUUCUUCUCUGUCCACCGAUUUCUACCAGAUAUACUUUCUUUCCCACUACGCAUAGUUCCUUGGGCAUGAAGCCCCCGCUGUUUUCAAGAGAUUCCCACAGUUCAUUCGCUCACCUCACUGCUGGGACUCUUUACCUUUUGCAACUUUGGUUUCUUGAGAAUUGUUUUAGCUCCAAGUUACUUCAAGGGUCUGCAAGAUAGAUGCUUCCACUGAGUGGUUUCCUACUUUGUGUAACACACUGCAUGCAUCACUUUCAUCCCAAACAGCAAAAUCAUUCGGUUUUUCAAUUAAACACCUGCC